rnacentral:misc_RNA from 1 species
AAGUCGUAACAAGGUUUCCGUAGGUGAACCUGCGGAAGGAUCAUUACCGUAGGGGGCUUUUGCCCCCGUUAAACGAUGUCCCUUGUCUAUGAGCACUCUUGUUUCCUCGGCAGGCUUGCCUGCCAAUGGGGACUACACCAAACCUUUUUGUAGUAGUAGUAGCCGUAUAUAAACAAAAAUCAAAACUUUCAACAACGGAUCUCUUGGUUCUG